UGCAAUGUAGUUUAUUUAAAAUGCUUAUUUUACACGUAAGUGUAUCCUUAUUAGGACUUUGCGA
rnacentral:tRNA from 1 species